CUUCAGAAGCACAUACAUCAUUUGGGUAUAGGGAGACGAGGGGGAGAAGAUAGAGAAGAGAAUGAGAGCAGGAUGGCUAACCUUUCGAGCCUUGUACACGAACUAAGAGAGCGCAUUGCGGCUUCCUCAUCGUCGCCUAGUCUCAACAAGGCUGAUGACGAUGCAUUGGAGCAUAGGUUCCGCGCUGUCCUUCCCAAUCUUCUUCAUGCUUACGUCGUCCCUUGUUCAUCCGCAAAUGAGAGAGAAGUGAUUGCAGUGGUGAAGCUUAUAUCUCAUAUUGCAAGAAAUUUUCCUGGAGUCUUUUACCAUGGCAAGGCUAGUGCCCUGGUACCAAUCAUUGGCCGGAUAUUACCUUUCUUUGCAGAACCCGCAUUUGGAUCUCGUCAUGGGGUAAUCUUUGAAACACUUGGGUCACUUUUAUCUUUGCUUCGAACUGGAGCACGAGAUGCAUAUAGACAAUUUUGUGUUGAUUCCAUGUUAGUCAUUGAAGAUAUUAUACACCUGGUCUCUCUCUGUCUUCAUGAUGCUAGCAAUGUACAAUCCACUAAGCUAAGGUUAAAUUGCUUUUGUGAGUCCUUUAAGGGAAUUGUCAGCGAUCCUGCUAUUAUUGGAGAUCUCCCAUCAAGUAACAAGCCUGUUGAUGGAUGUGGUUUAUUAAUAGACCUGAGUGACAAAAGGAGAUGGCAGCUUUUUGCAACUUGGAUUUUAAAGCUUCUUAGUAAAUGUCUAACAGAAGGAACACUGUAUGUUGAAGGCUUGGUCAACACAUCAUUUGUCUUUGCUGCAUGCUCUCUUUUAUGCUAUGGGGAUGCUGCUCUACAUAUGGCAUGUUUUGACUUUGUGGGCAUCAUUGUAACGGUGACAACCUAUCAUAUCAUACCGUAUGAGAAUUUUAUCCAGUCCAUACUUACUAUCUUGAGUGUGGACAAAGAGGGGCUUCCUGUAUUCAGAAAUAUGGCUUAUGAUUCAUCCAUGGGUGUUUGCCUCAGUUCACUCUACUCCAGUUGCUCAGAAGAUGUUGUCAAAUCAACAGCUGUUGAUUUAGUCAACGUGUUCCUGCAAUCAUUGUGGAGAACAAAAAGCAAGGAACUCAAGGUUGCGCUAUGCACAGCAUAUGAAAGGAUUGUUAAAUUUUGCCCUCCUCAUACCUGGCAGUUAGAAUCUCUCAUAUCUGCACUUUAUCAUCCAGAACCAUUCUUGCCUUUAAUAGAGUGCUUUCGAGUAGCUUUAUCUAAUCUUGGUCCACAUCUUGUGGGAAUGCAAGUUUACAAUAAGACCUUAACCAUGUCAAUACAUGAAGAUAACCUCAGACUUGGAGAAAAGAGGUCCAUUCAAGAGAUGGGCCCAUUAAAGACCAAACGGCAAAAGUUAAAUGAAGAUAUUGUUGUUGCUGAUGCCAAUGUUGAGAUGCAAUUCAAAUAUCUUCAUAUGGUUACUUUACCAAAGAGAGAAGAUUAUGCUCACAAUAUGAAUAAAUCUCUUCUGUCAUUUAUUCAAAAUUUAAAUGCUCCUGCUAUGACACCUUCUCCCUUGAGACCAGAUAUAGCAUUAUCAGCCCUUAGCAUGCUUUGCAUUGUCUUCUUUAUGUAUCCAGAUACCCAUUUGUCAUUCAAUAUCUUCCAUCAGAUGCUUUCAUGGCUUCCUUGGAUAGUCGAGCAGGCAAAGCAUGAGAACUCAAUUAAUGUUAAUAUCUCCAAUUACCUGGAAGGAAUUCAUGGCAUAUUGCUUUCACAAAGUUCUUUUUCUGGAGAGAACAAAUUAUUACAACAUGACAAUCAUGAUGCAGACCUUUUACAUGUAGUGCUGAAACUUCCCUGGACUCAUAGGCUUCUGGCUGUUGAUCAUCAUUGUCCAUGGAAAACAAAAUGUCUAUCUCUUCAGGUCGCAUCUAAGCUAGGUCCAAGUGUGAACAAUGAGGUUGUUCUAGAAGUUCUAGAUUUGGGUCUUUCUGAUGAAUCUGAAGAAGUUAGAAUUGAAGCUGUCAUUUCUAUGCCAGUAAUGGUUUUGUGGUUUGGUCAUGAUUUAUUACCUCCAGUCGUUCAAAGGAUGGAGUCUUUAAAGAGAGAUAAUGCAAAAGUUAAAAAGUUUGUUGCUAGAUCCCUUGGACUUUUGUCAUGCCUUUACGGAUGUAGUAGAUCUGUAUCUGGUUACAAAAAUGAAUGCAAAUUAUAUCCAAAUGCGAAAAGUGAAAAAACAUGCUGGACGGUAGAUUGUUUACUGCAAGGUUUCAGGUGUUCAAAAUGCGAUAGAAAAUUAAUUUCCAAUCAUGAUGAAAAUCAUCCAACUAUCAUUUUUCGGUCGGAUAUCCAUGGAGAUGUCAAUUUUGAUUGUAAUUUCAUUCAACUACAGUCAUUAUUUUUUGAACUUCUUUAUGAUGGGUCCUCAGAAGAUAUCCAAGUUUCCUGUUUGGCAGUUAUUAAUCGAAUUCUUGCACAUGGAGCUACUGAUGUUUUGCUGAGAACAAGGUCAGAGUGGAUAAAAUGUUUGGAUUUUUUACUGAUUAACAAGAGCAAGGACUUGAGAGAAGCAUUUUGCUGUCAAAUCAGUUCCUUUGUAGAGGAUCAUAUUUUAAGUUUAAUUUUUUCAGAAGACACUGAAAAAAGUAAGGAAAAAAGAUUCUUGGAUAUAAUUAAACAUGCUGUGGCAGCAGCUGAAAGUCCCCUAAUAUUAGAGACUCUUAUGGAAUGUACCUCAGAGAUAAUGGUUGCUGUUGGUAUAAGUAGCCCACUUUUCUUGCAUUCCCUUAUACUAUUGGUUGAUCAGCUUGACAAUUCACGUGUGACUAUAAGAAUGAAUGCCUCAAGGUUAAUACAUAAAUCCUGUUAUCAGCAUCUUAAAGGAGGGCUUGAAAUAAUUCUUUCCAAAGAUGUUCAAAUUCGAACCCGACUCUUUAAUUAUCUAUCUGAGAGACUUGCCAGCCGUCCACUCUUAGUGAGGGAGUUUGCUGAAACUGUUUUUGGUGUUGAAACUGAAGAGUUUGUCAAGAAAAUGAUUCCUUUUGUUCUCCCUCAGCUUGUGGUAUCUCAGCAGGAUAAUGGUCAAGCAGUUCUCACCUUAUAUGAGUUGGCCAAGUGCUUGAAUACUGAUAUGGUGCCUCUAAUAGUCAACUGGUUGCCAAAAGUCCUUGCUUUUGCUCUUCAUCAAGAAGAUGACCAGCAGUUACUUGCUGCCGUGCAGUUUUACCAUGCACAGACAGGUUCUGACAAGCAGGAAAUAUUUGCAGCUGCAUUACCUGCACUUUUAGAUGAACUUGUAUGCUUUGUUGAUGUUGAUGAUGCCGAUGAGAUAAGCAGAAGGUUAGCAAGAGUGCCUCAACUAAUCAAAGACAUUGCUAAAGUUCUUACGGGUGGGGAAGAUCUUCCAGGAUUUUUGAGGAAUCACUUUGUUGGCCUUCUUAAUAGUAUAGAUAGAAAAAUGCUCCAUGCUGAUGAUUUUGUUCUUCAGAGGCAAGCCUUGACACGUAUUGAGAUGCUGAUUAAAAUGAUGGGUUCUCAUCUUAAUACUUAUGUGCCUAAACUGAUGGUUCUCCUUAUGCAUGCCAUAGACAAAGAAUCACUUCAAGGGGAGGGUCUAUCUGUCUUGCAUUUUUUUGUUGAACAGUUGGCCAAAGUUUUGCCAUCUAGCAUUAAGCAUAUAAUUUCUCAGAUUCUGGCUUCGCUUCUUCCUUUCUUGGAAAGAGACAAAGAAAAUCCUUCAAUCCAUUUUGACAAAGUGGUAAAAAUUCUAGAGGAACUUGUUUUGAAGAACAGUGUCAUUCUGAAGCAGCAUAUACAUGAGAUCCCUCCAUUGCCUAGCAUUCCUGCUCUGACAGAAGUGAAUAGAGCAAUUGAAGAAGCUCGUGGAUCAAUGACCUUGAAGGAUCAAUUGCGAGAUGUAGUUGAUGGUUUAAAUCAUGAGAACUUGAAUGUGAGGUAUAUGGUAGUUAGUGAACUGCGUAAGCUUCUGAACCUGAGAUGGAAAGAUGUUACAACUCUCAUAAUUACUGAAACCAGUUCUGACUUAGAUGUCUUGAGUUCUUUGAUCACAUCUUUACUUAGAGGGUGUGCAGAAGAAUCUAGAACAGCAGUUGGGCAGAGAUUAAAGUUGGUCUGUGCUGAUUGUCUUGGAGCCCUUGGUGCUGUUGACCCUGCUAAAGUAAGGGGAUUUUCAUGUCAGCGUUUCAAAAUUCAAUGCUCUGAUGAUGACCUAAUAUUUGAGCUGAUCCACAAACACCUAGCUCGAGCAUUUAGGUCAGCACCUGAUACUGUUAUCCAAGACUCAGCUGCAUUGGCUAUACAGGAGCUUCUAAAAAUAGCUGGUUGUGAGGCAUCGCUUGAUGUAAAUGCAUCAACUUUUACAUCACAGGCACAAAAGGAUAAAGGAACUUUGGUGGCUGUUGCAUCUAGGACUGAGGGUACUGAUGGUAGGAGUAGGAUGAAUAAUAGAGGGCAGAGAUUAUGGGAUCGAUUCUCUAAUUAUGUGAAAGAAAUAAUAGCCCCAUGCCUAACAUCUAGAUUUCAGCUUCCUAAUGUGGUUGACUCAACAUCUGCUGGUCCUAUUUACCGCCCAUCUAUGUCAUUUAGAAGAUGGAUAUUUUUUUGGAUAAGAAAACUAACUGUGCACGCCACUGGAUCUCGUGCAUACAUUUUCAAUGCUUGCCGAGGUAUUGUGCGUCACGAUAUGCAAACAGCAAUGUAUUUACUUCCCUACCUGGUUCUUGAUGCUGUCUGUCAUGGUACUCAGGAGGCACGUUGUGGCAUAACAGAAGAAAUCCUUUCUGUUCUUGAUGCAGCUGCAUCAGAGAAUAGUGGUGCUCCAGUUCAUGGGUUCAGUGGUGGGCAAAGUGAAGUUUGUAUUCAAGCUGUGUUUACUCUUCUUGAUAAUCUUGGGCAAUGGGUGGAUGAUAUUGAGCAAGAGCUUGCUCUUUCCCAGUCAUCUCAUUCAUCAGCUAAGCAACAAAAAUCAAAGGAUCAAAGUUCAAUUUCCUUGGCUGAUCAGGGACAACUCCUUGUUCAGUGUAAGUAUGUUUCAGAGCUUUUAUCUGCCAUCCCAAAGGUGACUCUUGCUAGGGCUUCCUUUAGGUGUCAGGCUUAUGCGAGGUCUUUGAUGUACUUUGAAUCUUAUGUGAGGGGAAAGUCAGGUGCUUUCAACCCUGCUGCUGAGAGGAGUAGCACCUUUGAGGAUAAAGAUGUUUCACAUCUUAUGGAAAUAUACAGUUGUUUGGAUGAGCCGGAUGGACUAUCUGGCUUGGCAUGUUUAUGCAAUUCUUUGAUGUUGCAGGAUCAUCUAUUAAUAAAUAAAAAAUCUGGGAACUGGGCUGAUGUUUUGACUUCCUGUGAGCAAGCUUUGCAAAUGGAGCCUAACUCAGUUCAGAGACAUUCAGAUGUCCUUAACUGCUUGCUAAACAUGUGCCACCUUCAAGCAAUGGUCACUCAUGUUGAUGGUCUAAUUUCUAGGAUUCCUCAGUACAAGAAAGCAUGGUGCAUGCAAGGUUUGCAGGCAGCCUGGAGGCUUGGCAGGUGGGAAUUAAUGGAUGAGUAUCUCAGUGGAGCUGAAGAAGAAGGUUUACUUUGUAGCUGUUCUGAAAGCAAUGCUUCAUUUGACUUGGACGUUGCAAAGAUUCUCCAGGCAAUGAUGAAGAAGGACCACUUCUUAGUUGCAGAGAAACUUGCUUUAUCUAAGCAUUCACUAAUUGCUCCCUUAGCUGCUGCAGGCAUGGAUUCAUACAUGCGAGCAUAUCCAUUUGUUGUAAAGCUUCACUUGCUACGGGAACUGGAAGACUUCCAUUCUCUUUUAGGUGGUAGCUCUUUCUUAGAGAAAUCUUUUCAUUUGGGUGAUUUAGAUUUCUCUAAAAUGAUGGAUAACUGGGAAAACCGACUUAGAUUUACACAGCCAUCACUUUGGGCUAGGGAGCCACUUUUGGCUUUCAGGAGACUGGUUUUUGGCGCUAGUGGUCUUGGAGCUCAAGUUGGGAAUUGCUGGCUUCAGUAUGCAAAACUAUGUCGCAUGGAUGGUCAUUAUGAAACAGCUAACAGAGCAAUUUUAGAAGCCCAGGUCUCUGGUUUACCUAAUGUCACCAGGGAGAAAGCUAAACUUCUCUGGAGCAUCCGUCGGUCUGAUGGAGCCAUUGCAGAAUUGCAACAAUCUUUGUUGAACAUGCCCGUUGAGAUUUUAGGCACUUCUGUGAUAUCAUCCAUUUCUAGUCUUUCCUCAGUACCACUUAAUCCACCGCCUCUUAUUUGUGAUAGUCAAGCUAUAAAUGAGAGCAAAGACAUAGCCAAGACCCUUCUUCUCUACUCAAGGUGGACUCAUUACACUGGGCAGAAGCAGAAGGAAGAUGUAAUAAGUCUUUACACCAGGGUAAGGGAACUGCAGCCCAAGUGGGAGAAAGGGUACUUCUAUAUGGCUAAAUAUUGUGAUGAAGUGCUUGCUGAUGCUAGGAAACGCCAGGAAGAGAACUUUGAAUUUGGUCCUCGACAUGUUCCUGCAGCUUCAGUUGUUGGCUGUUCAAACACAAAUGUGGAGAAGCAUUGGUGGUCCUAUGUGCCUGACGUGCUGUUAUUCUAUGCAAAAGGGCUUCACAGGGGACACAAAAAUCUAUUUCAGGCACUUCCAAGGUUAUUAACCCUGUGGUUUGACUUUGGGAGCAUGUAUCAAAGAAGUGGUUCAUCUAACAAGGAUUUGAAGAAUGUACUAGGGAAGGUAAUGAGUAUUAUGAGAGGCUGUUUGAAGGAUUUACCAACAUAUCAAUGGUUGACGGUGCUGCCUCAAUUGGUAUCAAGAAUAUGCCAUCAGAAUGAAGAAAUUGUUCGACUAGUCAAACUUAUCAUUACCUCAGUUCUCCGCCAGUACCCACAACAGGGACUAUGGAUUAUGGCAGCAGUUUCAAAGUCAACUAUUCCUUCAAGGAAGGAAGCAGCAGCAGAAAUAAUACAAGCUGCACGUAAAGGUUUCAGCCCAGGAAGCAAUGAGAGCAAUUUGUUUGUUCAAUUUGCUAGCCUGAUAGACCAUCUGAUCAAAUUGUGUUUCCAUGCUGGCCAGCCAAGAGCGAGGACAAUUAAUAUUUCAACUGAGUUUAGUGCUCUUAAGAGAAUGAUGCCGCUGGGAAUUAUCAUGCCCAUUCAACAAUCUCUGACUGUUAAUCUGCCUAUAUAUGAUGGAAACCUGAGUGACUCACUGACGUAUAACAUCUUUUCCCACACAGAUCUUCCUACCAUAUCAGGCAUUGCUGAUGAGGCUGAGAUUCUUUCUUCUCUUCAGCGACCUAAAAAAAUAAUUCUACUAGGCAGUGAUGGUCUUGAACAUCCAUUUCUUUGCAAACCGAAAGAUGAUCUUCGCAAAGAUGCCCGCAUGAUGGAGUUCACUGCAAUGAUCAACCGAUUGCUAUCCAAAUAUCCUGAAAGCCGUCGAAGGAAGCUUUACAUUCGUACAUUUGCUGUGAUUCCUCUGACAGAGGAUUGUGGUAUGGUAGAGUGGGUGCCUCACACUCGUGGACUUCGACAAAUACUUCAAGACAUAUACAUUACUUGUGGAAAGUUUGAUAGGCUGAAAACUAAUCCUCAAAUCAAACGAAUUUAUGAUCAGUGCCAAGGUAAAAUACCGGAAGAUGAGAUGUUGAAGAACAAAAUUCUGCCAAUGUUUCCUCCUGUUUUCCACAAAUGGUUCUUGACCACAUUUUCUGAGCCUGCAGCAUGGUUCAGAGCCCGUGUUGCUUAUGCUCACACUACUGCAGUUUGGUCCAUGGUUGGGCACAUCGUGGGACUGGGUGAUCGGCAUGGUGAAAAUAUUCUUUUUGAUUCAACCAGUGGUGACUGUGUUCAUGUUGAUUUCAGUUGCUUAUUUGACAAAGGAUUGCAGUUGGAGAAGCCUGAGCUUGUGCCUUUUAGGCUAACCCAGAACAUGAUUGAUGGCUUGGGCAUCACCGGUUAUGAGGGUAUUUUUUUGAGGGUUUGUGAAAUCACACUUUCUGUACUGAGGACACACAGGGAGACUCUUAUGAGCGUGCUUGAAACUUUCAUUCAUGAUCCUCUUGUGGAGUGGACAAAGUCUCAUAAAUCAAGUGGAGUGGAAGUUCAGAAUCCACACGCACAGCGUGCCAUCAGUAAUAUUGAGGCAAGGUUACAAGGAGUGGUAGUCGGUGUUGGGGCUGCCCCAUCAUUACCUCUUGCUGUCGAAGGUCAAGCUCGCAGGCUUAUUGCUGAAGCAGUGUCUCACAAGAAUCUUGGAAAGAUGUAUAUAUGGUGGAUGCCAUGGUUUUAAGUAAUCAAUUGAUUAGAAAAAUUCAGACUGAUCAAACUCAGCGAACUGAACUGUUGCAAUGCUUUCUUGGUUUCAUGUUGUGGAAUAAUUAGUUGAAUGGUUUGUUUUGCAACACGUUGGACUAGAAGGGAGGGCUGCACUGAUCUGCCCUAAACUAAGAUAGUCUUAUAGUCCACUUGCUGAAUACGUAAGAAUGUGUGGUUUAUAUUUUCGUUCUUGCUUUGGUAACUCCACCAGUAUGCAGUGAGUGAAGAGGUGCGGCUGUAACAGUAUGCCGUGAGUUUUAUGAGAUGUGCAGGAAUUGGAAGGCCGAACCAAAACCUUGAAACAUAGGAAUUUGACCACAUCAUGAAGGAGGAAGAGAGCAAGAAUAAAGCUGUCGGUCAAGGAUAUGACCAAUGCUGCUUGACGCUCUGGAGGGCAUGCUUGUUUUGCCCAGAAUUGAAACUGGAAUGAACACGUCUUCUUGUAUUCGUUUGUUUAUAUAGCCUCACACCUUCCUUUUUAAAUGAAUGCAUGAAGUUUUGAAUUUAACUUUGUGGUCAUAUAAAAAUGAUGUCUCUGCUUGUG